GGCCCCUUGGUCAAGCGGUUAAGACACCGCCCUUUCACGGCGGCUACGGGAGUUCGAAUCUCCCAGGGGUCACCA
rnacentral:tRNA from 3 species